AACGAACGCUGGCGGCAUGCCUAACACAUGCAAGUCGAACGACACCUUCGUGUCUGCUUGCUCUCGCGUGCGUAACGCGUGGGAACCUUCCCUUAUACUCGGAAUAACUCCCUUAAAUGGGUGCUAAUACCGGGUAAUUUCCUCUGAUCCCAGAUUGAACGUCCUUGUAUGGGCCCGCGUUGUUUUAACCUGUUGCUAGUGUAAAAGCCUACCAAGGCUAGGAUCCAUAGCUGGUUUGAGAGGAUGAGCAGCGACACUGAGACUGUGACACGGCCCAGAAUAUUAGGGGAGGGAGGAGUGGGGAAUAUUGGAAAAUGGGCGAAAGGAUGAACCAGCAAUGCCGCGUGAGUGAUGAAGGCGGUAGGGUUGUAAAGCUGUUUUACACGGGAUGAUAAUGACAGUACCGGGAGAAUAAGCUCCGGCUAACUCCGUG
rnacentral:rRNA from 1 species